AUGAACCGAGCCAUCGGCGGGAGAACGACCCUGGAAUUCUCCAGCACGGAGACGCCCCCACGGUGGGAGCUCCUGGGAGAGGGGCGCCCCGCAGUGGCCGGAGCUCUGUUGGGGCGCCGCAGCCUUGGGAGCUGCCUGGGGUCUCCCCUUGCCCCCACGCCCCUUCCCGCCGGCAGCUGGCUUCCCUGCUCCCCUGGGGGGCACCCACCGGACCUGAGGCUGGAAGGCGGCGGGGAAAGGGGUGCCGUGGGCGCACAUCCCUUCUCGGGCCCCCUUUCUGCCGGGACAGCAGAGACUCCGUCCGUGUUCCCCCAGGGCUUCCCGGCUGGGGCCUCAGGUGCACGAGGCUCCGUCACCCCCACGCGCGGCCCUGAGCAGGAGGACUCCAGGGGGGAGGCCUGGGCGGAUAAACAGGCGGCGUCUGUGCGGCUUCCGUGGGUCGGGUCGUCAGCGAUGCGAGGGGCGCCGUGUCCCCCAGGCCCUGCUCCGGCCACGGCUGCUCCCCCGUCCCCCUGCCUACGCCGGACCCGCCACCGGGGUUCCCUUGGCAGCUGCCCUCAGGCUUGGCCGCGGAGCCCACGGAGGAGCCAGCCCGGGGCGAGGCCCGCAGGCCCGGGGGCACCUGCCUGGGGGGCGGGGCGGGGUGGCUCGCGGGAGCCAGGCAUUUCCGUCGCGCGAGCUCCUCAGAACAUCUCCAGGAACCUCGCAGACGACAGGCCACGCGGUGGGACCAAAGCCACUUCCAGUGACGCCGGGGAGCCCCAGGCAAGGCCGAGGCGCAGGGAGCUCGGACGCGGCGGGCACCCCGUGCCCCACUCCCAGCGCCGGGCGGGGACCCCGCUGCUUCCCCCGGGGCCUCUGCUGCGCGCAGGGGAGGGCGCUGCUCUGCACCCCCCCCCCAGCAAGCACGGAGCCCCGGGGCGCAGCCUGGCCAGAGUGCGCCGGGCCUGCAGGAAGCCCCCACGGACCCUCGUGUGUGUGGAUCUGCGCAGAUGGGGUGGGGGGCAAAGGGAAGGUGUCCUCCGGGCCAGAGCCCUUCAGUCCUCUGAGCCAGAUCACGCAUUGAUGUCAUAUCCUGCCACAUUGCUGAAUUCCUGUAUGACUUCUAGCAAUUCUGGGGUGGAGUCUUUUGGGUUUUCCACCUAG
rnacentral:lncRNA from 12 species